rnacentral:tRNA from 1 species
AACGAAGUAUUUUAUGUUUAAGAAAUUUGAGUUUGCGUCUCAAUAGAAGACUUUUUUUUGUCUCUUCGUUG